UUGAGCCGGAUGAAAGGAAACUUUCACGUCCGAUUUUGACGGGGGGAGAUCCUAUAGGAUCCUAUCCCAAU
rfam:Populus trichocarpa isolate Nisqually-1 chromosome 13, whole genome shotgun sequence.